rnacentral:rRNA from 1 species
UUAAGUUAUUAAGGGCGCACGGUGGAUGCCUUGGCACUAGAAGCCGAUGAAGGACGUUACUAACGACGAUAUGCUUUGGGGAGCUGUAAGUAAGCUUUGAUCCAGAGAUUUCCGAAUGGGGAAACCCAGCAUGAGUUAUGUCAUGUUAUCGAUAUGUGAAUACAUAGCAUAUCAGAAGGCACACCCGGAGAACUGAAACAUCUUAGUACCCGGAGGAAGAGAAAGAAAAUUCGAUUCCCUUAGUAGCGGCGAGCGAAACGGGAAGAGCCCAAACCAACAAGCUUGCUUGUUGGGGUUGUAGGACACUCUAUACGGAGUUACAAAGGACGACAUUAGACGAAUCAUCUGGAAAGAUGAAUCAAAGAAGGUAAUAAUCCUGUAGUCGAAAAUGUUGUCUCUCUUGAGUGGAUCCUGAGUACGACGGAGCACGUGAAAUUCCGUCGGAAUCUGGGAGGACCAUCUCCUAAGGCUAAAUACUCUCUAGUGACCGAUAGUGAACCAGUACCGUGAGGGAAAGGUGAAAAGCACCCCGGAAGGGGAGUGAAAUAGAACCUGAAACCGUGUGCUUACAAGUAGUCAGAGCCCGUUAAUGGGUGAUGGCGUGCCUUUUGUAGAAUGAACCGGCGAGUUACGAUUUGAUGCAAGGUUAAGCAGUAAAUGUGGAGCCGUAGCGAAAGCGAGUCUGAAUAGGGCGUUUAGUAUUUGGUCGUAGACCCGAAACCAGGUGAUCUACCCUUGGUCAGGUUGAAGUUCAGGUAACACUGAAUGGAGGACCGAACCGACUUACGUUGAAAAGUGAGCGGAUGAACUGAGGGUAGCGGAGAAAUUCCAAUCGAACCUGGAGAUAGCUGGUUCUCUCCGAAAUAGCUUUAGGGCUAGCCUCAAGUGAUGAUUAUUGGAGGUAGAGCACUGUUUGGACGAGGGGCCCCUCUCGGGUUACCGAAUUCAGACAAACUCCGAAUGCCAAUUAAUUUAACUUGGGAGUCAGAACAUGGGUGAUAAGGUCCGUGUUCGAAAGGGAAACAGCCCAGACCACCAGCUAAGGUCCCAAAAUAUAUGUUAAGUGGAAAAGGAUGUGGCGUUGCCCAGACAACUAGGAUGUUGGCUUAGAAGCAGCCAUCAUUUAAAGAGUGCGUAAUAGCUCACUAGUCGAGUGACACUGCGCCGAAAAUGUACCGGGGCUAAACAUAUUACCGAAGCUGUGGAUUGUCCUUUGGACAAUGGUAGGAGAGCGUUCUAAGGGCGUUGAAGCAUGAUCGUAAGNACAUGUGGAGCGCUUAGAAGUGAGAAUGCCGGUGUGAGUAGCGAAAGACGGGUGAGAAUCCCGUCCACCGAUUGACUAAGGUUUCCAGAGGAAGGCUCGUCCGCUCUGGGUUAGUCGGGUCCUAAGCUGAGGCCGACAGGCGUAGGCGAUGGAUAACAGGUUGAUAUUCCUGUACCACCUAUAAUCGUUUUAAUCGAUGGGGGGACGCAGUAGGAUAGGCGAAGCGUGCGAUUGGAUUGCACGUCUAAGCAGUAAGGCUGAGUAUUAGGCAAAUCCGGUACUCGUUAAGGCUGAGCUGUGAUGGGGAGAAGACAUUGUGUCUUCGAGUCGUUGAUUUCACACUGCCGAGAAAAGCCUCUAGAUAGAAAAUAGGUGCCCGUACCGCAAACCGACACAGGUAGUCAAGAUGAGAAUUCUAAGGUGAGCGAGCGAACUCUCGUUAAGGAACUCGGCAAAAUGACCCCGUAACUUCGGGAGAAGGGGUGCUCUUUAGGGUUAACGCCCAGAAGAGCCGCAGUGAAUAGGCCCAAGCGACUGUUUAUCAAAAACACAGGUCUCUGCUAAACCGUAAGGUGAUGUAUAGGGGCUGACGCCUGCCCGGUGCUGGAAGGUUAAGAGGAGUGGUUAGCUUCUGCGAAGCUACGAAUCGAAGCCCCAGUAAACGGCGGCCGUAACUAUAACGGUCCUAAGGUAGCGAAAUUCCUUGUCGGGUAAGUUCCGACCCGCACGAAAGGCGUAACGAUUUGGGCACUGUCUCAACGAGAGACUCGGUGAAAUCAUAGUACCUGUGAAGAUGCAGGUUACCCGCGACAGGACGGAAAGACCCCGUGGAGCUUUACUGUAGCCUGAUAUUGAAAUUCGGCACAGCUUGUACAGGAUAGGUAGGAGCCUUUGAAACGUGAGCGCUAGCUUACGUGGAGGCGCUGGUGGGAUACUACCCUAGCUGUGUUGGCUUUCUAACCCGCACCACUUAUCGUGGUGGGAGACAGUGUCAGGCGGGCAGUUUGACUGGGGCGGUCGCCUCCUAAAAGGUAACGGAGGCGCUCAAAGGUUCCCUCAGAAUGGUUGGAAAUCAUUCAUAGAGUGUAAAGGCAUAAGGGAGCUUGACUGCGAGACCUACAAGUCGAGCAGGGUCGAAAGACGGACUUAGUGAUCCGGUGGUUCCGCAUGGAAGGGCCAUCGCUCAACGGAUAAAAGCUACCCCGGGGAUAACAGGCUUAUCUCCCCCAAGAGUUCACAUCGACGGGGAGGUUUGGCACCUCGAUGUCGGCUCAUCGCAUCCUGGGGCUGUAGUCGGUCCCAAGGGUUGGGCUGUUCGCCCAUUAAAGCGGUACGCGAGCUGGGUUCAGAACGUCGUGAGACAGUUCGGUCCCUAUCCGUCGUGGGCGUAGGAAAUUUGAGAGGAGCUGUCCUUAGUACGAGAGGACCGGGAUGGACAUACCUCUGGUGUACCAGUUGUCGUGCCAACGGCAUAGCUGGGUAGCUAUGUGUGGACGGGAUAAGUGCUGAAAGCAUCUAAGCAUGAAGCCCCCCUCAAGAUGAGAUUUCCCAACUUCGGUUAUAAGAUCCCUCAAAGAUGAUGAGGUUAAUAGGUUCGAGGUGGAAGCAUGGUGACAUGUGGAGCUGACGAAUACUAAUCGAUCGAAGACUUAAUCAA